rnacentral:rRNA from 1 species
UACGUAGGCAGCGAGCGUUUGUUCGGAGUUACUGGGCGUAAAGGGUGUGUAGGCGGUUUCUAAGUUUGGUGUGAAAUCUCCCGGCUCAACCGGGAGGGUGCGCCGAAAACUGGGAGACUAGAGUGCGGGAUGGGAGGAGUAGAAUUCCUGGUGUAGCGGUGAAAUGCGUAGAUAUCAGGAGGAAUACCGGUGGUGUAGACGGCUCUCUGGACCGCCACUGACGCUGAGACACGAAAGCGUGGGUAGCAAACAGG